rnacentral:lncRNA from 12 species
UUGCUUUUCAUUUGAACUGUUUUACACACUUUUACCGUAAUGCCUAGUAUAUGUGUGCACCACAAAACAACAUGUGGGUGAGAAGGACAGUGUUUUUCAAAGUGGAGGCUGGCCUGACUACAGUAUAUUAGUGCAGCUGUGCCUGCUGAAGCGGUUGAGCAAGGUGAUGUAGACUAGGAUGGGACACUAGGAUGAACAGUCCCAUGAUCUGUUCCUUUCAGCUGAUGAAUUUAUUGAGGAAAGUCACCAACAGGACAGCUAUAUUUCAGUCAAUAUCCGGUAGCGUUUAGACUGCCAAAAUAAUAACUCCCUUCCCCCCCAUAGUCCAAAAUAUGCAUGAAACAAUGUUAAUUUUUUAAAAUAACGUAAAUCUUUCAUAGGUUUUCUACUACAUAUUUCAGUAAGAGAUGUUAUUUAUGUUAUAUUAAGCAAUAUAAGUCUCGAGUUGAUACCCAGGGUUCCUUUUAAGAAAUUUGUUUACAGUAAUCUGUAUAUAGACAUUUGGUUAUAUUUAUGUUGCUUUUCCAGUUGAUUAACCUUAAAAGCUUUUAUUAAUUUUGUGCAGUGUGUUUGGAGGAAGUCUUACUUUGCUUGCAUGUUGUAAAUCUUUUCAGAGAGCAUCACAUGCUGUUCAGAGUCACGUAGGGAUGAAAACAGACCCGGAAAACCACAAAACUGUGGACACGGAUCAUUCCUUUGAAACUCUACGAAGUCAUUUCAGAAGCAAAGAGACGGCGAGCUUGAGCGGGGAGUUCUUUAGCGUGAGUGAGCAGGAGUAAGUAUUCUGAUUAAUUAUUUUGUAUAGUAUUUUAAAAUGUAACGCCAGUACGCCAUAUUAAGUUAAUGCAUACUAUUAAGAAGUAAUGUAAAAUUAUUUUCAAGAACUGAUAUGAAUUCAUACCCAAUAGUUAUUUAACGGCCCAGGCUAAUAUUCAAAUAAUUGUGAGCUAGGUGUUAAAUCAUGCAGUUUUGGCUAAUAAAUCAUGGUCAAAAACACUUGAACAAAAAACUUUUUUCUUUAUUUCACGUUAUGUAGGCUAUGACAUUUUGUAGAUGGCUUCCGACCAGGAUGAAAGGGAUCACAUUCAU